rnacentral:rRNA from 1 species
AAAUUGAAGAGUUUGAUCAUGGCUCAGAUUGAACGCUGGCGGCAGGCCUAACACAUGCAAGUCGAACGGUAACAGGAAGCAGCUUGCUGCUUCGCUGACGAGUGGCGGACGGGGGAGUAAUGUCUGGGAAACUGCCUGAUGGAGGGGGAUAACUACUGGAAACGGUAGCUAAUACCGCAUAAUGUCGCAAGACCAAAGAGGGGGACCUUCGGGCCUCUUACCAUCGGAUGUGCCCAGAUGGGAUUAGCUUGUUGGUGGGGUAACGGCUCACCAAGGCGACGAUCCCUAGC